AGAGUUUGAUCCUGGCUCAGGACGAACGCUGGCGGCGUGCUUAACACAUGCAAGUCGAACGGUAAGGCCCUUCGGGGUACACGAGUGGCGAACGGGUGAGUAACACGUGGGUAAUCUGCCCUGCACAUCGGGAUAAGCCUGGGAAACUGGGUCUAAUACCGAAUAGGACCACAGGACACAUGUCCUGUGGUGGAAAGCUUUUGCGGUGUGGGAUGGGCCCGCGGCCUAUCAGCUUGUUGGUGGGGUGAUGGCCUACCAAGGCGACGACGGGUAGCCGGCCUGAGAGGGUGUCCGGCCACACUGGGACUGAGAUACGGCCCAGACUCCUACGGGAGGCAGCAGUGGGGAAUAUUGCACAAUGGGCGAAAGCCUGAUGCAGCGACGCCGCGUGGGGGAUGACGGCCUUCGGGUUGUAAACCUCUUUCACCAUCGACGAAGGUCCGGGUUUUCUCGGGCUGACGGUAGGUGGAGAAGAAGCACCGGCCAACUACGUGCCAGCAGCCGCGGUAAUACGUAGGGUGCGAGCGUUGUCCGGAAUUACUGGGCGUAAAGAGCUCGUAGGUGGUUCGUCGCGUUGUUCGUGAAAUCUCACGGCUUAACUGUGAGCGUGCGGGCGAUACGGGCAGACUUGAGUACUGCAGGGGAGACUGGAAUUCCUGGUGUAGCGGUGGAAUGCGCAGAUAUCAGGAGGAACACCGGUGGCGAAGGCGGGUCUCUGGGCAGUAACUGACGCUGAGGAGCGAAAGCGUGGGGAGCGAACAGGAUUAGAUACCCUGGUAGUCCAA
rnacentral:rRNA from 1 species